AUUGAACGCUGGCGGCAGGCCUAACACAUGCAAGUCGAGCGGAGCGGCGGACGGGUGAGUAAUGCCUAGGAAUCUGCCUGGUAGUGGGGGAUAGCGUCCGGAAACGGGCGCUAAUACCGCUUCCUCUCGCAUGAGCCUAGGUCGGAUUGGCUAGUUGGUGGGGUAAAGGCAUACCAAGGCGACGAUCCGUACCUGGUCUGAGAGGAUGAUCAGUCACACUGGAACUGAGACACGGUCCAGACUCCUACGGGAGGCAGCAGUGGGGAAUAUUGGACAAUGGGCGAAAGCCUGAUCCAGCCAUGCCGCGUGUGUGAAGAAGGUCUUCGGAUUGUAAAGUACUUUAAGUUGGGAGGCGUUACCAACAGAAUAAGCACCGGCUAACUUCGUGCCAGCAGCCGCGGUAAUAC
rnacentral:rRNA from 1 species